GAGCCGCUUGGCUGGAGUGGGACCGCAACCAACCAGGACUACGAUUCCCAGCGGGCAGCGCGCCAACUCCACGCGGAGGGCGGGGCUCUGGGCAAGCUAGGAGUUGUAGAGUCCGCCGCCUUCACUGUCUGGCUGUUUGGGAGAUUUACACUUCAUUUUUUUUUUCUAGAGAAAAACAAUUUUUGACAGAAGUCCUAACGAAAAGCGAGUUUACAGUGAAUCCUUGCGAGGGCUCAGGGAUCAACUCCCCACCGGCCCGCUUGGAAGAGUCUAAGUCCUUCACCGGGCCCGUUCCGUCAGCGGGUCGAUCCAGCUGGCUGAGGAUAGCAAGACAGCGGGACUAAUCCAAGCUAUGCCAAAGGGAAAGGGCGCGGCCUGCCAACCCGUCUCUUGGCAACGGGCUCAGGCCGCUAAACGGCCGGAGAGACGCUCCGAGCGCAUAGCCCUCUGGGAAGCGUAGUAUAGCUGGAAGGUUCAUAGGACUCUCGAGGCUGCAGGCUUUGAGCGUGAGAACUACAAUUCCCGACGUUCACCAUGAGGGCCAGGGGGUAGGAAGAGCCCCCAGGAGCUCGGUCCGGGGUUCCUGGCUCCCUAGUGACAGCAGCGACAGGAAGCAGGCAGGCAUCCCCCUAACUCCCAGCGCUAGGCCUGUCCUCGGAGGGGUGCACUGGACACUUUCCCGCAUAAUUCCCAUCUCUAACCCCAUGGCGAAGUCCCCAGGGAAAUCCACCCUGGAGGACAGUCUUGGGCAAUACCAACGGAGUCUCCGGGAACGAGCCAAUAGAAGCAUUCACCAAUUGAAAUGCACCCUGAGAGAAGUUGAUGCCACUGUAGAAGAAGAUGCACUGGAUCCUUCCACCAGCAUCAACGUAGAAAAGGAGGACAUAGGGGCGGCCUGGCAUGAACUGCAGCACAGCCAUGCUGUCAAUCAACUGAAAGCUUUGUUGCGUCAACAAACAAGUAAGGAAAAUGAGACAUCUCCACCACGAAGACGAAAGUUGUCCCCUUCGCAGCCGUCAGAAUGUGAAGAUGGUAGCAUGCCAACCAUGCUCAACCUUGUUCCUAUCAUUAAUGACCAGUCUCAAUACAUUCAUCAUUUAGAAGCAGAAGUCAAGUUCUGCAAGGAUGAAUUAUCUGGAAUGAAAAAUAGGGUGCAAGUAGUUGUACUGGAGAAUGAAAGGCUCCAGCAAGAACUGAAAUCUCAAAGACAUGAGGAGACACUAAGGGAGCAAACAUUCCUGGAUGCAUCUGGAAACAUGCAGAAUUCUUGGAUUAAGACACGAGAAGAUUCUAGGGUGGAUGAAAGUGCAAAGAGACCAUUUUCUCACGGUGAUGCUGAAACUGGCAAAACUGCAUUCACUGGUGAUGCCGAUAAAUGGAAGCUGGAGUUGGAGAGGCUGAAACUCACGUACGAGGCGAGGACCGACCUCUUGGAAUCUCAGCUGAUGCUUCUGAGGAAAGAAUUAGUUGAAUACCAGAAAACCUGUGAGGAUCUUAAGGAAAGAUUGAAGCAUAAAGAGUCUCUUGUGACUGCGAGUGCGUCCAGCCGUGUGGGUGGCCUCUGUUUGAAAUGCGCUCAGCACGACGCUGUUCUCUCUCAGACACAUAGCAACGUGCACAUCCAGACCAUCGAGACACUCACCAAAGAGAGAGACGACUUAAUGUCUGUGCUAGUUUCUGUGCGGAGCAGCUUGGCAGAAGUGCAGGAGAGAGAGACAAGUGCCUAUAAGCAGGUGAAGCAAGCUGUGCAGAUGACAGAGGAAGCCAACUUCGAAAAGACCAAGGCUUUGAUCCAGUGUGAGCAGCUGAAGAGUGAGCUGGAGAGGCAGACAGAAAGACUGGAGAAGGAGCUUGCCUCUCAGCAAGACAAGAGGGCUUUGGAGAAGGAGAUGAUAAAGAGAGAAGUAACCAGAGAACGGGAGGACGCAGAGUCAAAGAUGCUGAUCCUGUCUCAGAAUAUUGCCAAGCUGGAGGCCGAGGUUGAAAAGACUACAAGGGAGAAGAUGUCAGCUGUCAGUCAGUUAGAGGAAAUUCAGAACCAGCUUGCAUCUCAGGAAAUGGACGUCACAAAGGUGUGUGGAGAAAUGCGCUUUCAGUUGAAUAAAAUCAAAAUGGAGAAGGAUGAGGUGGAAAAGGAACACAGAGAAUACAAAGCAAAAUCUCACAAGGAUCUUGAAAUGAAAGAUCAGGAAAUAGAGAAGUUGAGACUGGAACUGAGCGAAAGCAAACAGCAUGCGGAGCAGGAGCAGCAGAAGGCCACUCGAGCCAGACAGGAGUGCUUGCAAGUCACAGAGCUGCUGGGUGAGGCGGAGCGCCAGCUGUACCUCACCAGACUGGAAAAAGAUAGCAUUCAGCAAAGCUUUAGCAACGACGCAAAGGCCCAAGCCCUUCAGGCCCAGCAGAGAGAGCAGGAGCUGACACAGAAGAUACAGCAAAUGGAGACGCAGCACGACAAAACUGAAAGUGAACAAUAUUUACUGCUGACCUCCCAGAACACAUUUCUGACAAAGUUAAAAGAAGAAUGCUGCAUGUUAGCCAAGAAACUGGAAAAAGUCUCACUAAAGAGCAGAUCACAAAUAGUUCGACUCAGUCAAGAAAAAAGAUACUUGUGUGACAAGCUAGAGAAGUUACAGAAGAGAAAUGACGAACUGGAGGAGCAGUGCAUCCAACACGGGAGGGUGCACGAGAAGAUGAAGGAAAGACUCAGGCAGCUGGAUAAGCAUGGCCAGGCUACAGCACAGCAGCUGGUGCAGCUGCUUAACAAGCAGAAUCAGCUUCUCCUGGAGCGACAGAACCUGUCAGAGGAAGUGGACCAGCUGCGAGCCCAGAUAGGGAAACUGAGGCUCAAACAAGCGUAUUCAGCUAGCAAAUAGGGGCACAGCAAAUGGAACCUAAGUCUGACUCCAGAGCCCAAGCUGUCCCCAUUCAGGUUAGAUAAUGGCGGAAAAGAGCCCAGUUACCCAGCAUGCCACAAUCUGAUUGCUGACCUGGAUGAAACAGAGUGAAAUAAAUGAUUUACAAAGAGAUAUUUACAUUCAUCUGAUUUGUACUUAAUGUGCCACAGUGCACCGAAACCUCCCCAGGGAGACACCACCGGGGACUGCAGGGGGGCUGGUCCUCAUGCCAUGGUCUGUCCCUGUGCUACAGACACCGAGUGCUUCAGCAUCAACUGGCUAGGGCUAGUUGGGAGUGUGUGCUCAGAACAGCAUCAAGCCACGUUGUCUCUAAAGUAUGCACAGGGGUUAAUAAAAUGACCUUUCUAAAGA